AGCGAACGCUGGCGGCAGGCCUAACACAUGCAAGUCGAACGAAGUCUUCGGAGUUAGUGCCGGACGGGUGGGUAACACGGGGGAACGUGCCUGUUGGUUCGGAAUAACUCAGGGAAACUUGUGCUAAUACAGAAGGUGCUCUUCGGGGGUACGAGUUAUCGCCAUUAGAGCGGCCCGCGUCUGAUUAGCUAGUUGGUGAGGAAACGGCUCACCAAGGCGACGAUCAGUAGCUGGUCGGAGAGGAUGACCAGCCACGCUGGGACUGCGGCACGGCCCAGACUCCUACGCGGAGCAGCAGUGGGGAGUCUUGCGCGCUGGGCGAAAGCCUGACGCCGCCAUGCCGCGGGAAUGAUGAAGGUCUUAGGAUUGUAAAUUUCUUUCACCGGGGGCGAUAAUGACGGUACCCGGAGAAGAAGCCCCGGCUAACUUCGUG
rnacentral:rRNA from 1 species